AUGAAUGGUGAUUUCGGGUACGUGUACAUGAAUGGGGACAUUGGGAAGCUCCCACCAGGGGCGGUGUAUCCAGCCACCCCUGAACCUUUGGGUUCUGUUGGGGGUGCAAUUGGAAGUACUGCAUCCAAUUUGGAAUAUAACAUCAUGAACGGCGUUCCAAGUGGAAAUGAAUUGAUAUUGGAGGCGAGUGUUGGUAAUCUAGAGCCUUCACCACAGCAUGCUAUAGGUAUAGGAGGUGCUGCAGGUUAUGGACCAGUGGAUGUUGCUGCUUUAGGUGAUGUGCCAAAUCAACCUGCUCCAAUGGCUGAUUUAUCUACUCCUGGUAUACCUUUGGAACAACUUAAACAGAUGCUCUCUUCGCAACUUGAAUAUUAUUUCUCCAGAGAAAAUUUAGCCAACGAUACAUAUUUAUUAUCACAAAUGGAUAAUGAUCAAUAUGUACCAAUAUGGACAGUAGCAAAUUUUAAUCAAGUUAAGAAAUUAACAAAGGAUAUAAAACUUAUAACGGAAGUUCUGAGGGAAUCUCCGAAUGUGCAAGUUGACGAAGAAGGGCAAAAAGUAAGACCUAAUCAUAAACGAUGUAUUGUAAUUCUUCGCGAAAUACCAGAUAACACGCCGCUGGAAGAUGUGAAGAAUUUAUUUUCUGGAGAAGGAUGUCCAAGGUUCAUUUCAUGUGAAUUUGCCCAUAAUAGUUCUUGGUAUGUAACAUUUGAAUCUGAUGACGAUGCUCAAAAGGCCUAUAGGUUUUUACGUGAAGAAGUUCGGGAGUUUCAGGGAAAGCCAAUAAUGGCAAGAAUUAAAGCUAAACCAAUGAAUAGGCUACCGAUACCAGCAGUUGCUGGUGUGAGUGGUAUUAAAAAUGGUUAUAGAACACCACCGCCACCGCCUGUCUAUGAUCCAAAUAGUUAUACAGCUGGGCAGCAACGCUUCCUUUAUACAAAUGGUACUACUAUGCCACAAACUACUAUGCCGCCAUAUGCCAAUCAGGUUCAUGUAUAUCAUCAGCCAUUUUAUCCUGCUGGAAUGAUGCCUUGGGGACCUGCAAGUCCUGCUUAUUUUGAUAUGUCAAGUGUUUUCACAAUGAAUGGUAUUACAGCACAUAACACAUUCAAACCACAUAAUACGAGAUACAAUCCGCGUCACAGAAAUAAACAAAGAAAUGGGUCCGAAAGACCAGGCUUAAUGGAUGGCGGAGGCAACAUGGUAUCGAUGGGACGAACCUCACACCCGCCUAUAAGCGGACCACCAAUAUCUUUAGGAGCAACAGUUCCGACCUUUACUUCGAGCUUGCCUACGGUGAAGCCAACCUCUUCUUCCUAUCAAACCGGCACAAAGUUCCAUUCCUCGCAUACAACCGUAGCACCUGGAGAGGCCCAGUACAAUAACAGCCACUCUAAAGGAUCCCAGGAAAGUGACGCUCAAACUGUGGAUUCUGGAGUUCAGUUUCCGCGUCAUCGUAUGCAUCGUAGGAUCAAAGAUCAAGAGUCAUUGUCAAAGGCUAACAAUAGCCCUUUACCAUCGAUCAGGGAAUCAACCCCGGCCAGUAAUAAUAACACACAAUGUAACCGAGGGGCACAAUUCGAUUUGGAAGCUUCUGCUUUCCCUCCUCUUCCUGGCCUAGAUGCAGAUAUUGCAAAAUCCCAUAAUGCUUCAGUAGAGACUGUUGGUACCGAUUGUACGCAAUCACAGAAUAGGCUUUCAGAUGUAGUUAAGGGUACUGCAAAAUUGAAAAGCGUUAAAGAAAAAGAAUCUGCAGGAACUUCGCAACAAUAUAAUCAACAACAACAACAACAACAACAACAACAACAACAACAACAACAACCAACAAGUAAUAGCAGUAGGUCUGCAAGUCCAGGAUCGAGUGCUGGUGGUCAUGCUGGCUCGUUAGAGGCUCCAACUGGUUCUGGCAGUACAUCAGCUACUCCCGUUGCAUCUACAAAUGUCAGCUCUAAUGCUUCUGUUAGCAACAAUGACUCCACAGACAUCGCUCUCAGCACCAUCACCCUCACUCCCCCGUCAUCUCCUGAUAAGUUUAGUCCUUUAUUAUUGAAAUGCACCGCUGACAGAUCUGUAAAGACUGACGAUUCGAACAUGGUGAAUGGAGUGGACGAGGCUGUUACAAAUGCACACACAGUGGAAGAUUCUGAACAAGUAUCUAGGUGUGAAUGUAAUUCCUCUGCUGCCUCACAAAAUUCCCAGUCACAAGUGGGAGUGUCUUCUACUUUCCCCGUAGAUCUUCUGAAGCCAAGCUAUGCCCAAGUAGCACAGCACUGUCGUGAACUACCUUGUACAAAGCAUAAAACAGAUGAAAGAGAUGGAAAUGUAUAAAUCAAUAUAUACUACCACAGUGAAUUUCAAUAUUUAGCUGUUAUUCUUCAUCUGGAUUAUAUGGAUUAUGUACCACUAUUUUUAUCCUACACUGGGUAUAGUGGGUACGAAGAAAACUUUUUACAUUGUACAGUGACUUCGCCUACAAUGAAUGUGGUAUCAAUUAACUAUGAAUCAUAAAGAAUUGUUUGAAGAAACUCUAAUUCGCUGCAUAUUUAAGAAAAUAUGUUUGCUGGCAGGAUAAUACAUUGUGUAGAAGAGUAUUGUUAUUGCUUUGGUUCUGUGAUUUUGGAGCACAGGGCCGUAACUGGGAAAUGUUUAUCUUUGUGCCAAACCUUGCUAUGCGCGUACAGCUUAAUGAAUGUUCAGAGUGCAACGAAAUUUAUUCUCAAACAGAAUUCUGAUUUGUUUAAAUAAAAAAAGAGAAUGUAAUUUUUGAAGCAGAUAAAUGUUAAGAAUAUUUAUUAGAAAACGAUCUAAUUUCUGUUUCUCAUAAUUUCUUUUUUUAUAUAUAUCAUUACAAAUAUUCAUGGACAAAUUUUGCAUAGUUUCCAGAAUAUUAAUGACAAUUAUACUGAAUAACAAUUAAUGUACAAAUGAAACAUUUGCUGUAUUGUCUGAAUUCUAGUUUCUAUAAAGAAAAGAAAAAUCAAAAUCCGAGGAAAAUAAAAAAAGUGCUAUGUAUAUGUUAUUGCCUGCAAUAAUGCGUAUUGAGUUUUCUUUAAUAUUAACAGUAACAAAUAUAAUUAUUACAACAUAUUGUAGUCAUUAAAUUUAUAUUAAUAUUAUUGAAGCAUUAUUGCUUUAUAAAUAAUAAUGAUAAAAUAUUUAUGUAGUUAUUUCUAAUUUACAGGAACAUUAUUUUUUGAUUUAAACAAAAAAUGAAUAAUAUUAACAUUUUAUAUUGCCUCAAGUACAUUCUACUCUCCACUAGAAGCUUUAAAAUUUUUGUCCCAGUUGAAUCAGAAGUAAUAAUACAAUACGUGUUAUUGAUAUUCUGGAAAUAAUACUAACAGAUUUUAGUUUUGUGUUCAAGUUAAAAAAGACGAAAAGAACGAAUGGUAAUUGUUACAACAUUUAGGCACCUAUUUACGGCACUGACUUUUCUUUUUAAUAUUACCGUUACAUGAGAUAACAUACAAUUUAGAAUUAUGCUUUGGCAAGUAAUAUAAGAGUUGUCAGAAAUAUGGUCUUUGAGCACACAUUUAAGUGCCUCAAAACGUUGUGUAUAUUACAGGAGCUUGGCUUUAGAUGUUAUAUAAUUACAUGUAUCUAUACAUUGUAGCAAAGAACGCAUAUGAUAUAUUUGUUACUAAUAUGCGUACAGAAAUUGAAAUAAUGAAUAUUGAACGAAAAACCAAUCUCCUGAACUACAGAAUAAUUACCAAUAUGUAUAAUUAUACUUUACAUUUAUAAUACUGCCUUUUAAUUUUUUUAUAUCUGAAAUGAUUAGUCGCGAUGUUGAAUAUACAGAAAAAAAUUUGUUAUCAACUGUAAAUGCAUUAAGAUAUUAAUUAUUUCAGUUUAAAAUCGUGGUGCUGUAAACACUUUGCUUUAGCCUCAGUCCUGUAGCACAACUUACAUUAAUUGUAUCUCGGUGAUACAUUUAAAAAUUGGUGUAAUGUCGUUAAUUACAUCAACAAAUAAGUAUGAUACAUUUAAGAUACAUACAUAAAUAUCUUUUUAUUAGUAAAUUCAUUUGUUUGAAGAACGGGGCUUUACAUAUAUUUUAAUAUUAUUAUCUUUUAUUUUGUGUAGAUUUGCCAUUUCGUUUUCGUUCCUUUUUUUUUUUUUUUAUUUUGGAUCUAGAAUAUUACUUUAAAGAAAGUUGUGCACAUGUACUAUAUUUAAACAUGAUUAUAGAAAUAAUGAAAUGAACUGUGAGGCAAGAAAUUUUGUGUUGUUUUUCUUCCAAACUUAUAUCUCAUUAAAUGUGACAAUAAUGUAUUAUCAGUAUUUAAUUUCAGUUUCACUAACUAAUAAUAACAUUUGUCUUUUAUAUUUAUAUACAAAAGAAAGAUUAUUUCUAAAAUUAUAAGUCAUGUGCAUAUAUUUUUAAUAUUAUCGAAUGAUCAAAGACAUUAAUUGAUCAGUUAUUCUAUUUGGUUCACUUAUUUUGCAUACUAACAUGAAUUUACUAAUAAAAAUAUUUAUAUAAAUACGAAAAAUACACGCAUAUAUACAUAAAAAUUGGAUAAGCAUUAACAUUUCUUGAUAAUGGAAUUUUAGAAAACGUAAACGAUGUUAAAGUGAUUUGUCUUACUUUAUGCGUUACCCUAUAAAUUAUGUAUAGCUAAUUAUGUGUAUGCUUUGAAUAUUCGUUUUAAUUAUUGCUACGGAUUAUAUGUAAAAAAAGAAAUUGAAAGUUGAUUCCUCUCUAUACAUUGUCUUUACUAAAUGUAUGGAAUUUAAUGUAAGAAACACUAAACUGUUGGUAUAUUAUAUACCUGUACAAUACAAAGUGAGAAAUAGAUACACCAAUACCUUGGAUCGUAAUGAUCACAUGUAUUGUCGGAAAAAAAGGAAAAAAAAAUUAAUAAUAAUUGACAGUGACUAAUAACUAUCUAAAAUAUUUAGUUUGUAAUGCUGAAAGUAAAUUAAAUAAAACUUUCUUAAGCUUUAAAUAGAAAAAAAAAAGUUGAUGAUAAAAGUUUUUGUGCUGGCAGUUGAAUUAGAAUAUAUAUAAUUAUUUGAAGGUAAAAAACGAUUCCAAAUGGUCCAGGGUAAGGGUAGUAUAUUGGGAUAAAAUUGUGAUUGGAAUGUGUGGAAAAAGGUAUAUUAGAACUUCGUUCUUUUUUAAUAAUCUCGUCACAUAAUCGUGGCUGAUAAACUUACGUUCAUUCAUUCAUCAGAAUAAACUGUGAUUAGAUUGAAGUUCAACAGAAAUACAAUGUAUAAUGUACUCCGUUUCAUAGGCUAUACAGGCCUAGAAAGUCUGAUUUUUUAACUACUAUGAAAAACUUGUGUAUUAUAUGAUCUAUGACGUUUGUUUAUUACUAUGUAAAGUGACAAAUUUCAAAAUUAAACAUUAAUUACUGUUA